rnacentral:rRNA from 1 species
UGGGGAAUAUUGGACAAUGGACCAAGAGUCUGAUCCAGCAAUUCUGUGUGCACGAUGAAGUUUUUCGGAAUGUAAAGUGCUUUCAGUUGGGAAGAAAGAAAUGACGGUACCAACAGAAGAAGUGACGGCUAAAUACGUGCCAGCAGCCGCGGUAAUACGUAUGUCACGAGCGUUAUCCGGAUUUAUUGGGCGUAAAGCGCGUCUAGGUGGUUAUGUAAGUCUGAUGUGAAAAUGCAGGGCUCAACGCUGGAUUGCGUUGGAAACUGUAUAACUAGAGUACUGGAGAGGUAAGCGGAACUACAAGUGUAGAGGUGAAAUUCGUAGAUAUUUGUAGGAAUGCCGAUGGGGAAGCCAGCUUACUGGACAGAUACUGACGCUGAAGCGCGAAAGCGUGGGUAGCAAACAGGAUUAGAUACCCUGGUAGUCCACGCCGUAAACGAUGAUUACUAGGUGUUGGGGGUCGAACCUCAGCGCCCAAGCAAACGCGAUAAGUAAUCCGCCUGGGGAGUACGUACGCAAGUAUG